AUACUUACCUGCCAGGAGAUACCAUGAUUACGAAGGUGGUUUUCCCAGGGUGAGGCUUAUCUGUUGUACUCUGAAUGUGCUGACCCUGGUGAUUUCCAGCAAUGUGGGAAACUCGACUGCGUAAUUUGUGAGGGGGGACUACGUUCACACCUUCCCCUG
ensembl:snRNA U1 U1 spliceosomal RNA